AGAAGUUGGGGCUCUGUGGGAGGGAACAGGUUUGGGGGAGGUUUGUCGUGGGUUGUGGAUGAAGGCACAGGCUGUAAGGGCAUCUCAGCAUGGCGGAGAAAGGGUUUUCGUGGAGACGCCCCAGGGUAUGUAGAGGGACAAAUUGGGACGUUUCCUGGAGCAGUGAGAAAGGGCCAGAUUGCAAGGAGAGUCCCAGAACUUUGUACAGGGGGACAGUUUAGGGGUGGGUGUCCCUGGACUUUGUGUGUGUGUGUGUGUGUGUGUGUGUGUGUGUGUGUGGCAUCACUUGAGGCAUCCUGGAACUGUGGGGAUCACCUAGUUUUUUCCUAGUGGAGAAUGGACUAUUUGGCCCUUGGCACCUAGAAGCAGCCAGGGGGGAAGUACUGACCAUUUAAAAGUUGCAGAUCUCCGGGCCCCAUUUCUGCAGCCUUCAUUCUGCAACUCCAGCCACCCACCUGUGCCGACGUCAAGCCGGUUGGGAUUGCCUUGCUCAUGUGCCUCCUCCCAUCUGUUUUUUUCACCAUGUGUCUACAGCCUUAGAAAUAAGGGCUCUUAGACAGCUGUCUUUAUAUUCCUAAGAAGUAUCUGUCUUUAAGCAAAUCUAGUCUGCAAAUUUUGGAUUUAUUCAAAAGCUUAAAUUAGGGUUGUUUUUUUUUAAAAGACCUCGAAUUUCCCAAUUGAUUUACUGUAGCAUUUUUCGAGAGAACAAAUUCCCCAGGGAUUUAAAACUAGUCAGUUCACAGAAAAUCAGCUUAACUCAACAAAUGCUAAAUUGUGUACUAUGCUCAGAGCACUUUGUUAUGGGAAAUAGAAGAGCAAGACAAGGCCCUUCCCAUCAAGGCACCUUGUCUGGCUGGGAAGAUGAGACAUAUACAUGUGAAAUAGGUAAAUAACAGUAUGAGACAGUACUAUACGUGAUCAGUACGUUGAGUGGCAGGGAUAGUAAAGUCUAUAAUGAGGCCUUCAGAGUAGGGCAAGGCAAUGAUAAGGGUGUAGCCCUUGACAGCUUACCGAGUGCUUUCAUAUUUAUUAUCUUGUGUACAUACGUGUAGGGUGGGGGAAAGAUCGGGGGAAAUGAAGAUUGAGAGAAAUCAUUCAGCUCUCCAAAUGACAGAUCCUGGCUUGAAUCGAGGAAUUCUGAUGCUACAGGUUUACUUAGAGUCAUUGAGAGUUAUGUGCCUUCGGGUCACCUGACAGAGUGAAGCAUACUGCUUUCUCACUAGUAUUAAGACUUGUUAAUGUAGACUGCGUGUCCAAAAACCACCCUGCCGGAACAUGCUAGUUUACCAUGGCAAAGCUCUGUUUUGGGAAUAACGCCUUGCUGGAGACCUUUGAGAUUUGAAAUUUGGAAUGGAAAGGGCUCAAGAGAUUAUUAUUAAAAUAGAAUGGUUUUAGGGAAGACUGUUGCCUGAUGACAAGGCUGUCACUAUUGUUCUGUACUACCUGACACGAUGGGACCAGGCCAGCCAGCUUCAACCUGUGUUCAUCUAGCACCUAGGACCCAACUUGAUGGGAAGAGCGACCCCCAAGUACUUCAGACCCAGAACCAACUGCAGUUUAAUAGGAAUGUUGCUACACAUUCAAGCAACUUGGCGAUCCGAUAUUCUUGCCCACAUGCCAUUAGAAUUGAAAAACUGAAGCACUCAUACGAUGACUCAUACCAUUGUAAAGAUGGAGAUGGUCCUGACCUAGGCAGUUCCGUUUCAUUUUCCGUCAUAUCGGAAGAGAGACUUAGCUAUGCUGUCCACCUAGCCAGAAGAGAUGUGAAACGAAGACAAUUUGAAGAACAUAUAAAAGAACAUCAUCUCAGAAGUCAGCCUCAAAGCUCCCAGAAGUGUGGACAUACUAAGUAUAAAAUACCCGACCACAGCGUGGAAAGGAAGGAAUCAAAGAGUCAAGCAGCCUGUCAGUGCAGCCACCAGCCAUCCAAGGUAGAAAUCUCCAGCUCUGGUGCCAAAGUAUACCUUUACUCAUCUCAUCCAGGCCAGUCAGAGCUUACUGUGCCAAAUUCGCCACCCACCCAUGAUCCGGGACUUCAGCCUCAUCCCAGAAUAGGUGACCACAAAAACAUAAGUGAACAGAAAAGCUUGCUAGAAGUCCAGCGACUCCAGAAAGAACUGAGCAGUUGUAUCCACAAAAUUGAAGAGGUAACUAAAAAAGAUAGACUAGAAGAAGCUUUGGAUCCAGAUGAAGAACGUCGAAUCCGUAUCAGGAGACAGGAGCAAGCUGCUCGCUCUGCCCGAAUGCUCUACGUCCUCCAGCAGCAGGUAAAAGAAAUCCAGGAAGAAUUGGAUAAAUUGAGUCCACAUAAAAUUAAACACACUAAGAAGUCAUGGGCAAUGUCUAAGCUGGCGGCUGCCCAUCGAGGAGCCAUUCGGGCCUUACAGAUGUUUGUCACUCAGUUUACUGACCGAGGGGAGCAUCCACUUCCUGCUCGGUGUAAGGAACUAGGCAGCCUUAUUCGCCAGCUUUCACUUUGUUCUGCCAAGCUGGAUGCAGACCCUUCUGUUCCUGAUGUGGUUAUAGAUAUUCUGCAACAAAUUGAGGCUUUGGAAUCUCUCCUGGAAAAGAAACUGUCACCAAAAAAGGUGAAAAAAUGUUUCAGUGAAAUUCGGAGCAGAUUUCCUAUCGGUAGCCAAAAGGCUUUGGAGAGAUGGCCAAGUACAUCACCAAAGGGUGAGAGGAGGCCCCUCACAGCAAAGGACACAUUCCCACAGGAAACAUGUCGACCUUCUGUAGCAAAACAGCUUCUGGCCGAUAAGUAUCAGCCUGAUAUGGAGCUUCCGGAGACCCAGAGGUUGCAGAGUGAGCUUGAUGUAUUAGAUGUGGAUAUACUUCCAGAAGAAGGACCGUUUAUUCUAGACCAAAGUGCAAGCUUCAAAGACGAAGUGUUAGCCGUGGCAAAAACAAAAGCAGUGAAAAAGAAGUCUGUGACUGAGAAUGUGCCAUUUAGGAAGAAAGAUACUCUGGCGCCAGCAAGACAGCAAGGACUCCGCAAAGCUGAAAGAAGUAGACAAAGCCAACCUCACAGUAAAAGCAGAGUGCAGCAGACAACAGUUUCAUCCAGAUUAAAAAUGAACCGGCAGCCUGUGAAAGACCGCAAGGCACCAUGGAUACCCCCAAACCCCACAUCCCCACCAGCGUCUCCUAAAUGUGCCGCAUGGCUAAAGGUGAAAACUAGCCCCAGAGAUGCCACAAAAGAGCCUCUCCAGCAAGAAGAUCCUCAAGAGGAAAGUCACCUGACAGGUGCUGUUGAGCAUGAAGCAGCCAGGCUCGCUUGGCUUGAUGCUGAAACUUCCAAAAGAUUGAAGGAACUAGAAGAAUUAAAAGCCAAGGAAACUGACAACAUGCAAAAACAGAGGCUUGACUGGCUUGAUGCUGAAACUUCUAGAAGAACAAAGGAACUGAAUGAGCUCAAAGCUGAAGAAAUGUAUAGACUCCAACAAUUGAGUGUUUCUGCCACCCAGUUAGCAGACAAGGUAGAGGAGGCAGUUCUGGAUCGUUUGAAGCCUCUCUUGGUCAAGGCCCAGAGAGUCAAUUCUACUGCAGAAGCAAAUAUUCAUUUGAAAGAUGGCUCGUCAGUAAACACAGCGACGGCCCAGCCUGCACAGGAGGUUGCAGCUGUUGAUUUUGAAUCCAACAACAUUCGUCAGCUUGAUGAUUUUUUGGAAGAUUCUGCCCAUGAGCUCUGGGCUGUGACUCAUGCUAAGAUCUUGGGGUCUGAAACCUUAGCCACCGUUGAGGACAGCAAGGAUAGCCCAGAUCUGGAGAUGAUGAUGCGCCGAAUGGAAGAGAUGGAAAAAUACCAGGAGUCCGUUCGUCAAAGAUAUAAUAAAAUCGCAUAUGCUGAUCCUCGACUUUGGAUGCAGGAAGAAAACAAUGACCAAAAAAUCUCGGCAAUAAGUGAAAAGCCUCUGUCUCCUCAUCCAAUCAGAAUCACGAAGACAGUGGAUCGCAAGGAUCCAGCUGUGAACAUCAUGUUAGAAAGGCCCUGUAAUGGCAAUUCCCUGGAUGAAAGUGUGGGAACAGAGGAAGGAUCAGAGAAAAGAGAGGCUCCUCUUCUCUCCCUAGCAGAAGAUUCUCAACAGAAAGAAGGCCGAGCUCCCCUCUUUGUCCCACUGGGUAUGCGGCACAGCAUCGGUGACUACUGCAGUCGUUUUGAGCAGUACCUUCGGAUCAUAUCUCAUGAGGCUAUAGGCUCCUUCAACCCGUGGCUGAUAGCUGAAAGCUUUUCAGAAGAGCUGGUAGAUGAAGCUCUGGGUGCCGUGGCUGCUGAACUUCAGGAUAUGUGCGAAGAUUAUGCAGAAGCUGUGUUCACCUCAGAAUUCUUGGAGGCUGCUACAUAAAGGCUCUCAGAGGCGAGGCCCUUUGUGUCACACUGGAGAAGGGAUGGCACCACCCUUUGUUUUGGCCCACAGGAAAUUUUCAUCCUCAGCUGUCCGUCCAGGCCCAGAAGGUGCUGCCCACUGAAAGGAAGGCAGUGCCGGGGAGGUCAUCCCCACAUUUUCUUUUGUCAUGGCAAUGGUUCUGGAAAUGUAUGAUGCAAUGUGUCACACUUACCAGUGCCCAGGCAACACAACUUGAUUAUGGCAAUGUUUUCAGAAUGUGUACUUUUCCUAUUGAAAUAUGAUGUUCAUUCCUCUGGCUCAGUUUGGUGAUGAAAAUGUUUUGAAAGAUAAUCGAUACAUAUAUUUCACACAGGGAUUCAGGUUGCUGUGGAACCCUUGGUGGCAUUGAUACCAACACAAGUGCAGCUACUAGCUGGUCCCAUCACGGGGCCCCUGUUUUGCAUCUUUGGCGAUUUCCUGUCAGGACCUCUGGCCCUACUAGGCUGUAGACUCAGGGAGAGCACAGUCUGGCUGUGCUGUGUCAAACCUCUGCUCCACUGCAGUUUAUUACAAACAGGAGCCCCCUGGCUGUCAGUGCACAAUAAUAGACACACAUUUCUUCAACGUUCCAUUCCUAGGUGAUUUUCACAUUUUUAGUUCCUCGGCAUAUUUUAUUGCUGUGUGUUGACACAAUCUGGUAUAAAAAACUUUCUCUGGAUUCAGAGGAAGUUUGAGGAAUCAGGAGAGGACCAGGCCUUCUCCUGUGCCUGGGUGAAGGUACAGAGCUCGCUCUGUCUCCGAUGAGGUCAGAAGUGUCUCUAUUUCAUACCACAAAGGAACCCCGAGUGGGAGUAGAGAACAGAUGGAUGGCAUGAAGACCUCUGUGUCUCCCCAGAGAAAGGAAGAAACUUAAGAACCAUCAUAGCCUGGUCCUCCAACAUCUUACAGAUCAUGUUUUCCAAGAGAAAAGCCUGUGUUUUCAGAAACUCUGAAUUCAGAAAAAGAAAAGGAAUGUGCAUAAGAAUCAGGCCACCGCCUGGAAAGACUUUCUCUCAAUUCGUAGCCUGAGGCUCAGUGAAGGAAACGUGCAGAAAGAAUGCCUGGGACACCCCCAGGGAAUAAGGGAACUCUUUAUAACCCGUCCAGUGCUGUCAUCUGGGAUUUUUCUCUGAAGUACAAGAAUGUCAGGCAAAGUGAAAUGUGAUUUACAGAAACCACUGAGAAUACUUUUAUAUGUGAUAUGUGAUAUGAGUAUAGUGGAUUAUUUGCCACCCCUUCCCCCCGAGAAAAAAAUUAAUGACAAAGCUAACAUUUAUUGAGCA